UCGAGAAUCUUCCACCAAUGUGCGAGAGCCUGACGCAGCGACGCCGCGUGUGGGAUGAAGGUCUUCGGAUUGUAAACCACUGUCGGGAGGGACGAAGCUCUGACGGUACCUCCAAAGGAAGCACCGGCUAACUCUGUGCCAGCAGCCGCGGUAAUACAGAGGGUGCGAGCGUUGUCCGGAAUCACUGGGCGUAAAGGGCGCGUAGGCGGCCUGGUAAGUAGGGGGUGAAAUCUCAUGGCUCAACUGUGAGGCUGCCUUCUAGACUGCUGGGCUUGAGCACGGUAGAGGCUGGUGGAAUUCCCGGUGUAGCGGUGGAAUGCGUAGAGAUCGGGAGGAACAUCGGUGGCGAAGGCGGCCAGCUGGGCCGUUGCUGACGCUGAGGCGCGAAAGCGUGGGGAGCAAACAGGAUUAGAUACCCCUGUAGUCCCUGAGCGGGCUGGCAAGGCGCAU
rnacentral:rRNA from 1 species